GCAUGUGAGGGUAAUCUGGCUGUGACAUCCGUCACCCCAUUGAUUGCCAGGGUUGAUUUGGCUGAUCUGGCUGGCUAGACCAGGUGUCCCAUUCCUCCCUCAAUGCUCCAUGCUCCUGGAGCUGCAUACUCGGUUGCAGUGGACAACCUCCCCAACAGAUUUUUUGUGUGAAAAGUGAUCCAGUAGAAAAGGACCUGAGGGUGCUGUUCGACAGUGGCUGAACAUGAGCCAGCAGUGGCCCAGGCGGCCAAGAAAGCCAAUGGCAUCCUGGCCUCUCU
ensembl:misc_RNA 7SK 7SK RNA